rnacentral:rRNA from 1 species
UACAGAGGGGGCAAGCGUUGUUCGGAAUUACUGGGCGUAAAGGGCGCGUAGGCGGCCUUCUAAGUCGAACGUGAAAUCCCUGGGCUCAACCCAGGAACUGCGUCCGAUACUGGGAGGCUUGAAUCCGGGAGAGGGAUGUGGAAUUCCAGGUGUAGCGGUGAAAUGCGUAGAUAUCUGCAGGAACACCCGUGGCGAAAGCGGCGCGCUGGACCACUACUGACGCUGAGGAACGAAAGCGUGGGGAGCGAACAGG